rnacentral:ncRNA from 1 species
AAGACAACAACUGAAUCUGAUCGUAUAUCCUUGGGAAUUGGCCCGAGAGUCUCUACCCGGCGACCGGAAUCGCUGGACUACGAACGAAAGUGAAUCUAGG